CAUACCUGCUGAGCAGCCCGGGCUGCCUGCUCCUCGUAGAUAUCCAGGUUUUUCUGCAUAUGCUGCAGGGCUUCAGGGCGGGACAGGGGGACACGAGGGUCCGGGUUCAAGAUUACGUUGUGCUC